CCCCUUCGUUAUAGUGGUUAGUGACGCUGACUGCGGUGCAGUAGGGCCUGGGUUCGAGUCCCGGAGAAGGAGU